GAAAUGCGAUAAGUAGUGUGAAUUGCAGAAUUCAGUGAAUCAUCGAAUCUUUGAACGCACAUUGCGCCCUUUGGUAUUCCUUAGGGCAUGCCUGUUCGAGCGUCAUUUAAACCCUUCAAGCUCAGCUUGGUGUUGGGUGACUGUCCGCCGCCUACGGGCGUGGACUCGCCCCAAAUCCAUUGGCGGCCGGUACGUAGGCUUCGAGCGCAGCAGAAACGCGAACUCGGGCCCGCGGUGUCGGCUCCCAGAAGCCAUCUCUUCUAUUUUGACCUCGGAUCAGGUAGGGAUACCCGCUGAACUUAAGC
rnacentral:misc_RNA from 1 species